UACGUAGGGUGCGAGCGUUUAAUCGGAAUUACUGGGCGUAAAGCGUGCGCAGGCGGCGCGUUAAGACAGGUGUGAAAGCCCCGAGCUUAACUUGGGAAUUGCGCUUGUGACUGGCGUGCUGGAGUGUGGCAGAGGGAGGUGGAAUUCCACGUGUAGCAGUGAAAUGCGUAGAGAUGUGGAGGAACACCGAUGGCGAAGGCGGCCUUCUGGACGAUGACUGACGCUGAGACGCGAAAGCGUGGGGAGCAAACAGG
rnacentral:rRNA from 1 species